rnacentral:rRNA from 1 species
CAGCCGCCGCGGGAAUACAGAGGGUGCGAGCGUUAAUCGGAUUUACUGGGCGUAAAGCGUGCGUAGGCGGCUUUUUAAGUCGGAUGUGAAAUCCCUGAGCUUAACUUAGGAAUUGCAUUCGAUACUGGGAAGCUAGAGUAUGGGAGAGGAUGGUAGAAUUCCAGGUGUAGCGGUGAAAUGCGUAGAGAUCUGGAGGAAUACCGAUGGCGAAGGCAGCCAUCUGGCCUAAUACUGACGCUGAGGUACGAAAGCAUGGGGAGCAAACAGGAUUAGAUACCCGAGUAGUCCCUGUCUCUUAUAA